AGCCUCAAGGUGAGCAAGGAGAGGUCUUGACUGGAUGUCAGGAAGACUUUCUUCACAGAAGGGGUAGCCAAACACUGUAAUGAGAAAAAGGGAUGUGAUAGAGAACCCUGAGAUAACAGCCACAAGACUGAAACCUAUGGAAGCUGUGCGCAAAUGAUUUUCAGAGCAUCAUCCUUUGAUUAUAGAGCUCAAGCCUAAGGUCUUUUCAUCACAAUGUUGUAGACAAGUUCAAAGUCAGGGAUUUUAUUGUAAGCACGCUUUCCAAUACUACCUUUCUGAGAAUUACCACUUUAAUUAGCAGAAGGAAAAACAAGGCUGAGUUCAUAAGAGGACAUGAAGUAAAAUGAUGCUCCUUUGAAUUGACAGGUGACAGAAUAUUACACAGGUGAAUCAGAAAGGUUGUGGAGUCAUCAUAUAGAUCUUCAAAAGGUUCCUGGACACAGACCUGGGCAGCCUGCUCUGGGUGCCUUAGCAGCAACCAGGACCAGGCGGCCCCAGAACUCCCUGCCAACUUCAACCACUCUGUGAUUUUGUUAUUCUCUGAUUCUGAAAAAUGUACCUACUGUAGUCAGACAAAUGACGUUAGUUUUGUUUCAGAAAAUGUAUAAUUUCUGUAAAUGUAUGUUGUUUUUUUUUUUUUAAUCUUAGAAACAGACUUUCC
ensembl:lncRNA